GCCCUUGUAGCUCAGUUGGUAGAGCACCGCACUUGUAAUGCGGGGGUCGCCAGUUCGAAUCCGGCCGGGGGCA
rnacentral:tRNA from 1 species